rnacentral:rRNA from 1 species
GACGAACGCUGGCGGCGUGCUUAACACAUGCAAGUCGAACGGAAAGGCCCUGCUUUUGUGGGGUGCUCGAGUGGCGAACGGGUGAGCAACACGUGAGUAACCUGCCCUUGACUUUGGGAUAACUUCAGGAAACUGGGGCUAAUACCGGAUAGGAGCUCCUGCUGCAUGGUGGGGGUUGGAAAGUUUCGGCGGUUGGGGAUGGACUCGCGGCUUAUCAGCUUGUUGGUGGGGUAGUGGCUCACCAAGGCUUUGACGGGUAGCCGGCCUGAGAGGGUGACCGGCCACAUUGGGACUGAGAUACGGCCCAGACUCCUACGGGAGGCAGCAGUGGGGAAUAUUGCACAAUGGGCGGAAGCCUGAUGCAGCAACGCCGCGUGCGGGAUGACGGCCUUCGGGUUGUAAACCGCUUUCGCCUGUGACGAAGCGUGAGUGACGGUAAUGGGUAAAGAAGCACCGGCUAACUACGUG